UACGUAGGGGGCAAGCGUUGUCCGGAAUCAUUGGGCGUAAAGAGCGUGUAGGCGGCCAGAUAAGUCCGCUGUGAAAUCUCGAGGCUCAACUUCGAGCUGUCGGUGGAAACUGUCUGGCUAGAGUCCGGAAGAGGAGAGCGGAAUUCCUGGUGUAGCGGUGAAAUGCGCAGAUAUCAGGAGGAACACCAAUGGCGAAGGCAGCUCGCUGGGACGUGACUGACGCUGAGACGCGAAAGCGUGGGGAGCAAACAGG
rnacentral:rRNA from 1 species